UACGUAGGGUGCGAGCGUUAAUCGGAAUUACUGGGCGUAAAGCGUGCGCGGGCGGUUUGGUAAGACAGAUGUGAAAUCCCCGGGCUUAACCUGGGAACUGCAUUUGUGACUGCCAGACUAGAGUGUAGCAGAGGGGGGUAGAAUUCCACGUGUAGCAGUGAAAUGCGUAGAGAUGUGGAGGAAUACCGAUGGCGGAGGCAGCCCCCUGGGCUAACACUGACGCUCAUGCACGAAAGCGUGGGGAGCAAACAGGAUUAGAUACCCUGGUAGUCCACGCCCUAAACGAUGUCAACUAGGUGUUGGGGAAGGAGACUUCUUUAGUACCGCAGCUAACGCGUGAAGUUGACCGCCUGGGGAGUACGGUCGCAAGAUUAAAACUCA
rnacentral:rRNA from 1 species